AACGCUAGCUACAGGCUUAACACAUGCAAGUCGAGGGGCAGCGCAGUGUAGCAAUACAUGGGCGGCGACCGGCGCACGGGUGCGUAACGCGUAUCCAACCUUCCCGUUACUCAGGGAUAGCCUUCCGAAAGAGAGAUUAAUACCUGAUGGUAUCAGAAUUUCGCAUGUUAUUCUGAUUAAAGAUUUAUCGGUAACGGAUGGGGAUGCGUGACAUUAGGUAGAUGGCGGGGUAACGGCCCACCAUGCCUACGAUGUCUAGGGGUUCUGAGAGGAAGGCCCCCCACACUGGAACUGAGACACGGUCCAGACUCCUACGGGAGGCAGCAGUGAGGAAUAUUGGUCAAUGGUCGGAAGACUGAACCAGCCAAGUAGCGUGAAGGAUGAAGGUUCUAUGGAUUGUAAACUUCUUUUAUACGGGAAAUAAAACCACCUACGUGUAGGUGCUUGUAUGUACCGUAUGAAUAAGCAUCGGCUAACUCCGUGCCAGCAGCCGCGGUAAUACGGAGGAUGCGAGCGUUAUCCGGAUUUAUUGGGUUUAAAGGGAGCGUAGACGGGAGAUUAAGUCAGUUGUGAAAGGCUGCGGCUCAACCGCAGCACUGCAGUUGAUACUGGUUUCCUUGAGUUCGGUUGAGGUGUAUGGAAUUCGUGGUGUAGCGGUGAAAUGCUUAGAUAUCACGAAGAACUCCGAUUG
rnacentral:rRNA from 1 species